UCCUACGGGGCGCAGCAGUGGGGGAUAUUGCACAAUGGGGGAAACCCUGAUGCAGCGACGCCGCGUGAGUGAAGAAGCAUUUCGGUACGUAAAGCUCUAUCAGCAGGGAAGAAUAAUGACGGUACCUGACUAAGAAGCCCCGGCUAACUACGUGCCAGCAGCCGCGGUAAUACGUAGGGGGCAAGCGUUAUCCGGAUUUACUGGGUGUAAAGGGAGCGUAGACGGCUGGGCAAGUCUGAAGUGAAAUGCCGGGGCCCAACCCCGGAACU
rnacentral:rRNA from 1 species